GCUCACCCGAGGCUCAGCUGGAGAUGGGGUGGCUUUCGAGCAGCUUACGCUCCGUCCCAGCGCAUCACCCGGCAUUGAUUGAUCGCCUUUACUGCAGGCUCUGACAAGAGAGAUUAUCCUAGUGAAGGCUCAGAGGCAGCGUGCAGCAUGGAACAAGUUCUGCUCAGCGCUCCUGGUGCCUGCCUGCUGCCCUCAGCCAGCACUGAGCAUUCGCACGGUGCUCCCUCGGAUUGCAGCAUCUUUCUGUUUUCCUACAAUGCAGACUCAUCCUGGAAAAAUAGAUCUGGUUUGCCCAGGAGGAGAUUCUCAAGUUAAAAGUGAGCAACAGGAGAGAAGAAAUCACACAGCAAGAUGUGCACCCUUGGGAAAAGCCUUUUGCCUCCCCAGUGGGACAAACACGCUCCUGCCCAGAUGCAAAACUGCACACACAGAGCAAUAAAAUCCCCCCAGUCUGGCAGUGCAUCGGCAGAAAUCAGACCACAAAAGGACAGGAUUUCUUUCUGUCUUUUUCCAUGGGAGACACAUGGCUUCCCUGGACGCACAGCAGGAAACAUUCGGGCGCCGGUAGAGUUUCUGUGAUUUCUCUCUAUUCCCAUUUGUACUCUCUUUAGCUCCAGGGUUUAAUUCUCCUCCCAUUCAGGAGCACACCGCUGGCGAGCCCAGAGGCAAAUGGCUGAGCUCCCAUUGCUUGGCACUGGCUCAGAGGCCAGGGGAUGGAGGGAGCUGGGGCCAGCCCUGCCUCGCUGGGAAGGGGAAGCAGAAAGGAGGCAGCAGAUGGAGUUUGGGGAGAAUAUAAGGAUAAGGAUGAAGUGCCUGAAAUAAACCUCAAAACAACUAAAACAACACCAAGAGGGAGUCAAAAAGGCAGCUGCAGUCACAAGACCUGUGUAUAGUAUUGUGGGUUCCUCUGCUAGACAAAAGAGAGCAUCUUCCCGCUCAGGGAUGAACUAAUGCUGCUCUGCUUUUCUGUCCUUUGAAUCUUCAUCUUUUCCCCCAGCUAAUGCAUGGGGAAGGUGGGCUAUUCUGGAGUCACCGUGAAUUGGUUUCAUUUCCUUGCUUGCUGGAGCUGAGUAAGGGCUAUUUCAUCUCAACAGGCUUCUCCCAGCACACCUUAAUUUGAGAUCUCCUGCAUGCAGGAAGCAAUGGAGUUAAGUGACCUUGCUGAAUCCCGACUGCUGCAGCUGCAGGAGAACGGGGAAGGAAAAGAAGAGAGGGGAGGAGGAAGAGGCACUUUGCAGCCUCCCAUUAAAGCCCCAAGAGGCUGAAGAUGAGAGAGUGAAAGUUUCAAAUUGCCAGAAUGUAAUUCUGAAAGUCAUUUUCCAAGCGCAGAGCUCUCCGCAAUGUCACCUCUCAUCUUCCAAGGUGGGGAUAGAAGAAACAAAAAAACACAGAAUGUUCUGCAAAGACAGAGCUGCUAAUACAAAGACAGAAGAGGUGUCAGUCCCCAGACACGCUGUCUCGCACCGCCUUCUUCUGGGAGAUCUGUGCAGCUCGGGUGCACCUGUACCGGGGAACCAUUCCCAGCUCCUUUCCCAAGCCAUAUCCAACCUGGGUGAGCGCUCUGGCUGAGCUGACUAUGGCUUUUUCCAGCCCUUCUAAGAGCAAGGAUAUCAAAGAAGUCUGCAUAUUCAACAGUUACAGUUUACAUUUGAAUGAAACUCCUGACCUUCAAUUCAAUACAGUGAUUAUGUUAAUGAUUAAUACUAUUAUUAAUUUCUUAGCCUUCUCUAGCAAAAGACCGUGAUGGAUGUGCGGGAGAAAAGGUGCACUUAGAUAUUCACCCCCCUCUGCCCAACCCAACAAAGCUAUCCCUCCCGGCUCCCCCUUCCAGCUCUUUGCCUUCAAAGAAAUCUGAAUUAAGGAGUUAGACGCAUUCAACAAAGAGUUCAGCCCAGGAUCUCGUACCAAAGAGCGAAUUAGCCUCUUGUUCUACAUUCUUUGCUGACCUUUAUUCCAGCUGCACCCCCUCUUAUGUUUAUAAAAUAAAAAAUUACCCAAAU
ensembl:lncRNA